AUUGAACGCUGGCGGCAUGCCUUACACAUGCAAGUCGAACGGCAGCGGGGACUUCGGUCCGCCGGCGAGUGGCGGACGGGUGAGUAAUGUAUCGGAACGUACCAUUGAGUGGGGGAUAACGUAGCGAAAGUUACGCUAAUACCGCAUAUUCUCUCCGGAGGAAAGCAGGGGACCGCAAGGCCUUGCGCUCUUUGAGCGGCCGAUAUCAGAUUAGCUAGUUGGUGAGGUAAAGGCUCACCAAGGCGACGAUCUGUAGCGGGUCUGAGAGGAUGAUCCGCCACACUGGAACUGAGACACGGUCCAGACUCCUACGGGAGGCAGCAGUGGGGAAUUUUGGACAAUGGGGGCAACCCUGAUCCAGCCAUGCCGCGUGAGUGAAGAAGGCCUUCGGGUUGUAAAGCUCUUUCAGCCGGGAAAAAAUCGCAUGGGCUAAUACCCUGUGUGGAUGAUGGUACCGGAAUAAGAAGCACCGGCUAACUACGUGCCAGCCGCCGCAGUAA
rnacentral:rRNA from 1 species